UGCUACAAUGAUGACAUUAUAUUUGCUACUCUUGACUGUGAGAAUGACGAGAGUUACUACCACCAUUACACUUAACUGAGGCA
ensembl:snoRNA SNORD24 Small nucleolar RNA SNORD24